rnacentral:rRNA from 1 species
AACGAACGCUGGCGGCAGGCUUAACACAUGCAAGUCGAGCGCCCCGCAAGGGGAGCGGCAGACGGGUGAGUAACGCGUGGGAAUCUACCCAUCCCUACGGAACAACUCCGGGAAACUGGAGCUAAUACCGUAUACGCCCUACGGGGGAAAGAUUUAUCGGGGAUGGAUGAGCCCGCGUUGGAUUAGCUAGUUGGUGGGGUAAAGGCCUACCAAGGCGACGAUCCAUAGCUGGUCUGAGAGGAUGAUCAGCCACAUUGGGACUGAGACACGGCCCAAACUCCUACGGGAGGCAGCAGUGGGGAAUAUUGGACAAUGGGCGCAAGCCUGAUCCAGCCAUGCCGCGUGAGUGAUGAAGGCCUUAGGGUUGUAAAGCUCUUUCACCGAUGAAGAUAAUGACGGUAGUCGGAGAAGAAGCCCCAGCUAACUUCGUGCCAGCAGCCGCCGUAA